rnacentral:rRNA from 1 species
GACGAACGCUGGCGGCGCGCUUAACACAUGCAAGUCGAACGGAAAGGCCUGCUUUUCCUUGUGGAUUGCGGGUACUCGAGUGGCGAACGGGUGAGUAACACGUGAGUGAUCUGCCCCCAACUUGGGUAUAAGCCUGGGAAACUGGGUCUAAUUCCCGAUAGGACUGCAGGGUGGUGUCUGUGGUGGAAAACGAUCUUCUAGUGGUUGGGGAUGAGCUCGCGGCGUAUCAGGUUGUUGGUGGGGUAAUGGACUACCACGCCGGGGACGGGUAGCCGGCGUGGGAGGGUCGACAGCGACAUUGAGACUGGGAUACGGCCCAGACUGCUGCGAGAAGCAGCAGUGGGGACGAUAGCACAAUAGGCGGGAGGCAGAAGCGGCGAGGCCGCGUGGGAGAUGACGGGAUUGGGAUUGUAAGCUCCUUUGGACCGACAGGAAGCCACGUGGUUGGAAGGGUGGUGACGGUAGUGGUAGAAGAAGCACCGGCUAACUACGUG